rnacentral:rRNA from 1 species
GUGGGGAAUAUUGGACAAUGGGCGAAAGCCUGAUCCAGCCAUGCCGCGUGUGUGAAGAAGGUCUUCGGAUUGUAAAGCACUUUAAGUUGGGAGGAAGGGCAGUAAGUUAAUACCUUGCUGUUUUGACGUUACCGACAGAAUAAGCACCGGCUAACUUCGUGCCAGCAGCCGCGGUAAUACGAAGGGUGCAAGCGUUAAUCGGAAUUACUGGGCGUAAAACGCGCGUAGGUGGUUUUGUAAGUUGGAGGUGAAAUCCCCGGGCUCAACCUGGGAACUGCCUCCAAAACUGCAUGACUAGAGUACGGUAGAGGGUAGUGGAAUUUCCUGUGUAGCGGUGAAAUGCGUAGAUAUAGGAAGGAACACCAGUGGCGAAGGCGACUACCUGGACUGAUACUGACACUGAGGUGCGAAAGCGUGGGGAGCAAACAGGAUUAGAUACCCGGGUAGUCC